ACCAAACGAAGGAGCGAAAGAAGAAGAAAAGGAAGACCAUCGGUAAUAACAAGAAGACAGCACAGCUCGUCCCUCAUCAGUUGGAAGUAGAACCUCUGUCAUUCCACUACCUCUUCAUACGGACUGCGGACACGUUAGUUAUCAUACUACGACAACUUAUUUUGGAACAGUAGCUUACUUUACCACCCUCCGCUGUGUGUGUUCUAUUUAAUUUAUUAUUUAAUUUUGAAUCCACGUUAGACCAACUUGCUGGUUGUAACAUUCGCUGACACGGCAAAACCUGAGAUGAGCUGAAGACAAUAGGAAGGAGCACUUCACUGCAGACCUUGGUACGGAUUUGAACUUCUGCUAUAACGUUAACCUAACUAUGCUAAAGUAUCUGUGUGUCUCUGUGUGUAGGGUGGGGGGACUGGCUAACAUUCACCUACUUUGGGUACUAAAAUUGGGAAGAAAGCAGACAGGAAGUGUCUGUCCGGUGAGACUAACGUUCCACCUUCUAACAUCUCUGUCACUACCACUAACAGCUGGUUUCUUACAGUAUGCUAGCGUUAAGUCAAAGAAUUCAACAGAAUAUCUAUCUGUGUGGUCACGUGCCGUCUGGUUUGACGUCUGCGCGUGAGGUGAGGUUAUCUAACGUCACUGCUAAAGUGAGGCACUAGCUGUACGGCUGACUGUUGGACUGUGGCUGGUGAUGUGACGGGAAGAGGACAAGCUUUAUCGUGUUUGUGAAUAUGUGUAUGCAGAGUCAGCUGCUACGGUACCCCCCCCCCACCUCAUGUUACUACAGCUGCGGGUUUAUACAUGACAUUUGCUUAGUGCUGAGUCAGUACUUUGAAUCAUGGUCGGGCACUGAAUUGCUUUUCCUGAGCAAGCAUAUGGACCAGCUUUAAUUACAAUACCAGCAAAUCUCCACAUAAAACAGACAAAAAUUAAUUCUACCCCUAUUUGUCCAACCAUGUCCAUCUCCCACAGUAGUACAGAUGGUUUGGAGUUUCAAAGGUCAUGGUUUUCUGUGUGAGACGUGGUGGAAGUAGCCUCCCAAAACUGCUUUAUUAACUGAUGUAUAACUGCAUAGUGUUGUGACAAAAAAUGACAACCAUAUUGGCAACCACUUUUAAAAUGUUGAGCCCUGUUAAAUAAUAUACUAAAGAUGACAGUUAACUGUAGUCCAGUCAUGGGAUGGAGAGAAAUGGUCUCUGGGUUAGUGUGAGUGAAGCCUUACUGCUGCUCACCAUGAACAGGCAAAUAAUGAAUAGCAAGGCAAGAGGAUGUUUUGGUUCAUCUCUCGCAUCUCAAGCAAUCAAUUAAUGUGGCUUUGUUUGCAUAAAAGUAAAAAAGAAGCAAUGUUGCCAAAGCAUCAAAUAAAAAACUUAGUGGGCACCCCUCUGAGGGCGAGUUUCAGCUGAUUUUGCAUGGUGCAUAUUUCUAAAUGAAUUAGUUUCAGCAAUCUUGGGGCCAUGUAAUGUUCCAAGGAGGAACGGGUCAGACCCAGCAGCUCAUUUUUAUCCCCGGGUCAGCAAGCAGGUUAAGAUAGAUAGAUACUUUAUUCAUCCCCAGGGGGAAAUUUGUUUGUUUUAAUAUGGUCAAAUCUGGUUUUGACUGCUUCCAGAGAUUUAAAACUUGCCUGUGACAGAUAAUCCAGUAGACAUAAUAUUCACACUUCUGGAUUACCCAGUUUCCAAGUCUCUACGGGAUCAUUUUCACAGAAUUCUGGAGUGAGUGGGAACCAGUGGCUACCUGGAAGUCAGGUGAUGAGUGUUGAGAGGCUUUAGCUGAAAGUCAGAGGUAUCAUGGAGGACGACUACAGGCCUCUGCUGAGCCCAGAGCAGACUGGAGAGUGCUACUCGAACCGAGACUCCACAGACUCGCUGGACUUCAAGACUAAAA